GGUCUUUCAGGCUGUGAUCUAUGCUGCUUCCUUAUCCUGAAAAUACAGAAUGAGAUACAUUGGUAAUCAGCUUUUACUACAGGUGAGGCUCUGCCCACUGAAGUGGAUACUGCAAUACUGAGGAAAUAAAUGUCAUUGGUGAAUACCAAGCAUAGCAAUAAAAAUAGCGACAAUUAUUUGCAUUGUCAUAAUGGCAAAUGCAAAUAUGUCACUAGUCUACCAACUGACAAACAGGAUUUUCCUUACACCUAUUUGUAUAAUUCCUUUUCAUAACAAUUAUGUCCUGCAAAUUAAACAAUUACAAUCAUGGAA